CUGUCCCUUAUGCGACUUACAUGGCUGGAGAAGCAGAAGAAUAAGUGAACUGAGAGAAGAACUGGCCACAUAAAAUCCUGAACAAGCAAUUUUAUUGAAGAAACUAGACAAGACAGGAACUACUUUCUUUAGGUACCAGCCAAAAUAUAGUGCCAUCAAACCUUUGGUGUGGGGCAAUAUGGGGACAUUUAACAGAAAAUACAGCCUUUUACUUCUAAGGUGC
rnacentral:lncRNA from 1 species